rnacentral:tRNA from 1 species
GUCCCUGUAGUAUAUAUAUAAUACCCUGGUCUUGUAAACCAGAAAUGGAGAAUCUCCUCCCAAGGAUA